GAAUCUUCAUGCGCUCAUGACGUGACUACUACGCGCGCGUUAUGAUUGGGUUAGCCCCCCCCCCUAUUUUGCGGGGGAUAACCCGCACGAUGGGGGGGAUGACCCCCCCCCAUCAUGCCCCUUAUGACCUGCCCUAACCGGAUGGCAUGUUAUGGCUUUCACCGGGGAAGGGCAUUGGAAACUGAACCCUUGAGUACAGAAGAGGAAAGCGGAAUUCCACGUGUAGCGGUGAAAUGCGUAGAGAUGUGGAGGAACACCAGUGGCGAAGGCGGCUUUCUGGUCUGUAACUGACGCUGAGGCGCGAAAGCGGGGGGAGCAAACAGGAUUAGAUACCCUGGUAGUCCACGCCGUAAACGAUGAGUGCUAAGUGUUGGGGUCUCCGCCCCUUAGUGCUGAACUAACGCAUUAGCACUCCGCCUGGGAGUACGGCCGCAAGGUGAAAUCAAGGGAAUUGACGCCACCGGCACAAGCGGUGAGCUUUUGUUUAAUUUCGAAAGCCACGCAAAAAACCUUACCGGGGCUUGGGAAUUCCCAAUGGAACGGGAAAAAAAAAAUACCUUUUUCCCUUUCGGGGAAAAAAAAGAAAACGGGGGGGGGGGUGGUUUCCCCCCCCCCCUCGGGUAGAAAAAUUUUGAAUACCCC
rnacentral:rRNA from 1 species